rnacentral:rRNA from 1 species
UGGGGAAUUUUGGACAAUGGGCGAAAGCCUGAUCCAGCAAUGCCGCGUGUGUGAAGAAGGCCUUCGGGUUGUAAAGCACUUUUGUCCGGAAAGAAAUCCUUGGCUCUAAUACAGUCGGGGGAUGACGGUACCGGAAGAAUAAGCACCGGCUAACUACGUGCCAGCAGCCGCGGUAAUACGUAGGGUGCAAGCGUUAAUCGGAAUUACUGGGCGUAAAGCGUGCGCAGGCGGUUUGCUAAGACCGAUGUGAAAUCCCCGGGCUCAACCUGGGAACUGCAUUGGUGACUGGCAGGCUAGAGUAUGGCAGAGGGGGGUAGAAUUCCACGUGUAGCAGUGAAAUGCGUAGAGAUGUGGAGGAAUACCGAUGGCGAAGGCAGCCCCCUGGGCCAAUACUGACGCUCAUGCAGCGAAAGCGUGGGGGAGCAAACAGGAUUAGAUACCCUGGUAGUCCACGCCCUAAACGAUGUCAACUAGUUGUUGGGGAUUCAUUUCCUUAGUAACGUAGCUAACGCGUGAAGUUGACCGCCUGGGGAGUACGGUCGCAAGAUUAAAAC